GAUGAACGCUGGCGGCGUGCCUGAUACAUGCAAGUCGAGCGAACAGACGAGGAGCUUGCUCCUCUGACGUUAGCGGCGGACGGGUGAGUAACACGUGGAUAACCUACCUAUAAGACUGGGAUAACUUCGGGAAACCGGAGCUAAUACCGGAUAAUAUAUUGAACCGCAUGGUUCAAUAGCGAAAGACGGUUUUGCUGUCACUUAUAGAUGGAUCCGCGCCGCAUUAGCUAGUUGGUAAGGUAACGGCUUACCAAGGCGACGAUGCGUAGCCGACCUGAGAGGGUGAUCGGCCACACUGGAACUGAGACACGGUCCAGACUCCUACGGGAGGCAGCAGUAGGGAAUCUUCCGCAAUGGGCGAAAGCCUGACGGAGCAACGCCGCGUGAGUGAUGAAGGUCUUCGGAUCGUAAAACUCUGUUAUUAGGGAAGAACAAAUGUGUAAGUAACUAUGCACGUCUUGACGGUACCUAAUCAGAAAGCCACGGCUAACUACGUG
rnacentral:rRNA from 1 species